GGUCUGGUGGUGUAGUUGGUUAUCACGUCAGUCUAACAGCACGAGAACGUCUCACGAUGUCCUCACUGCACACUGAAGGUCUCCGGUUCAAGUCCGGGCUAGAUCA
rnacentral:tRNA from 1 species